rnacentral:piRNA from 1 species
UCUCUUAAGAAGAGAAGCCUGGAAGGAAAC